GUGCCAGCAGCCGCGGUAAUACGUAGGUGGCAAGCGUUAUCCGGAAUUAUUGGGCGUAAGGCGCGCGUAGGCGGUUUUUUAAGUCUGAUGUGAAAGCCCACGGCUCAACCGUGGAGGGUCAUUGGAAACUGGAAAACUUGAGUGCAGAAGAGGAAAGUGGAAUUCCAUGUGUAGCGGUGAAAUGCGCAGAGAUAUGGAGGAACACCAGUGGCGAAGGCGACUUUCUGGUCUGUAACUGACGCUGAUGUGCGAAAGCGUGGGGAUCAAACAGGAUUAGAU
rnacentral:rRNA from 1 species